GGGGCCGUAGCCCAAUUGGCAGAGGCACACGGUUUAGGUCCGUGCCAGUGGGGGUUCGAGUCCCCCCGGCCCUA
rnacentral:tRNA from 1 species